CGUAGGUGAACCUGCGGAAGGVUCAUUA
rnacentral:rRNA from 1 species